rnacentral:rRNA from 1 species
UGGGGAAUAUUGCACAAUGGGGGAAACCCUGAUGCAGCGACGCCGCGUGGAGGAAGAAGGUCUUCGGAUUGUAAACUCCUGUUGUUGGGGAAGAUAAUGACGGUACCCAACAAGGAAGUGACGGCUAACUACGUGCCAGCAGCCGCGGUAAAACGUAGGUCACAAGCGUUGUCCGGAAUUACUGGGUGUAAAGGGAGCGCAGGCGGGAAGACAAGUUGGAAGUGAAAUCUAUGGGCUCAACCCAUAAACUGCUUUCAAAACUGUUUUUCUUGAGUAGUGCAGAGGUAGGCGGAAUUCCCGGUGUAGCGGUGGAAUGCGUAGAUAUCGGGAGGAACACCAGUGGCGAAGGCGGCCUACUGGGCACCAACUGACGCUGAGGCUCGAAAGUGUGGGUAGCAAACAGGAUUAGAUACCCUGGUAGUCCACACCGUAAACGAUGAUUACUAGGUGUUGGAGGAUUGACCCCUUCAGUGCCGCAGUUAACACAAUAAGUAAUCCACCUGGGGAGUACGACCGCAAGAUUGAAACUCAAAGGAAUUGACGGGGGCCCGCACAAGCAGUGGAGUAUGUGGUUUAAUUCGACGCAACGCGAAGAACCUUACCAAGUCUUGACAUCCCUUGACAGGCAUAGAAAUAUGUUUUCUCUUCGGAGCAAGGAGACAGGUGGUGCAUGGUUGUCGUCAGCUCGUGUCGUGAGAUGUUGGGUUAAGUCCCGCAACGAGCGCAACCCUUAUGGUCAGUUACUACGCAAGAGGACUCUGGCCAGACUGCCGUUGACAAAACGGAGGAAGGUGGGGAUGACGUCAAAUCAUCAUGCCCUUUAUGACUUGGGCUACACACGUACUACAAUGGCGUUAAACAAAGAGAAGCAAGACCGCGAGGUGGAGCAAAACUCAGAAACAACGUCCCAGUUCGGACUGCAGGCUGCAACUCGCCUGCACGAAGUCGGAAUUGCUAGUAAUCGUGGAUCAGCAUGCCACGGUGAAUACGUUCCC